rnacentral:rRNA from 1 species
UGCCAGCAGCCGCGGUAAUACGAAGGGUGCUAGCGUUGUUCGGAAUCAUUGGGCGUAAAGGGUGUGUAGACGGCGCAUAAAGUCAACUGUUAAAUUCUCCGGCCUAACUGGAGGUGUGCGGUAGAAACUUAUGUGCUAGAGGAUGGAAGAGAGAAGUGGAAUUCUCGGAGUAGCGGUAAAAUGCGUAGAUCUCGAGAGGAACACCGAUGGCGAAGGCAGCUUCUUGGUCCAUUCCUGACGUUGAGACACGAAAGCGUGGGGAGCAAACAGGAUUAGAUA